rnacentral:rRNA from 1 species
UACAGAGGGUGCGAGCGUUGUCCGGAAUCACUGGGCGUAAAGGGCGCGUAGGCGGCUCGGUAAGCGUGCGGUGAAAGCCCGGGGCUCAACCCCGGGUCGGCCGUGCGAACUGCCGAGCUGGAGCACUGUAGAGGCAGGUGGAAUUCCGGGUGUAGCAGUGAAAUGCGUAGAUAUGCGGAGGAACACCGAUGGCGAAGGCAAUCCCCUGGGCCUGCACUGACGCUCAUGCACGAAAGCGUGGGGAGCAAACAGG